UACGGGGGGGGUAAGCGUUGUUCGGAAUUACUGGGCGUAAAGGGCUCGUAGGCGGCCAACUAAGUCGGACGUGAAAUCCCUCAGCUUAACUGGGGAACUGCGUCCGAUACUGGAUGGCUUGGAUUUGGGAGAGGGAUGCGGAAUUCCAGGUGUAGCGGUGAAAUGCGUAGAUAUCUGGAGGAACACCGGUGGCGAAGGCGGCAUCCUGGACCAACACUGACGCUGAGUGAGCGAAAGCCAGGGGAGCAAACGGG
rnacentral:rRNA from 1 species